rnacentral:misc_RNA from 1 species
GUGAAUCAUCAAAUCUUUGAACGCAUAUUGCACUCUCUGGUAUUCCGGAGAGUAUGCCGGUUUGAGGGUCAGUUUAAAUAAUAUAAGGUCUGAGAGUUCUCUGAAUUUAAAAUGGGUCGGCCAUUUGUUGUGGUCGCCUAAGAUCAAAGACAAGCACAUUUGCUUGGGUUUCUUGAUACUUUCAGUUACCUCGUGACGUAAGCUGGAGUCAUCGAGCGC